GGCUCUUUAAACCACAUGUACCGCUGUUAUUUGACCUACACAAACUAAUUUGUCAAUAUUAAAAUAAAAAAAAAAUACGAAACGUCACAAUACUAUAUUCACCAUCAAAUUAUAUUUUUACUAAAUACAAAUAUAAUGUAAUUGCAGAUCUAUAUUAAUAUAAAAAGAGUAUAAGUUUUAUAACAAUGGCUAUGAAACUGCUGCACGCUUUGGCCGCAGUGCUGACUAUACUGCUGUUUCUUAUUGGACCAAAGUGCAUAAAUGCAGGAGUGUGCCCCGCAAAACGACGUAUACUUAGUUUAUCACGUUUUUGUGGCGAUGUUUCAUUUACGUCGUCAUCACUACCGUCCAGGGAUUGUAUGAUAUGCGUUCGGACAGAUGAUUGUGGACAACCUAAGUAUAAACGGGAUCCUAACAUUCAUAUCGAUAAUGAAGAAAUAGGUUACCAUCCACUAGAUUGAGUCAUUGUUAUAACCUUAUACAUAUUAAAUUUUUAGGCAAAAAUAAACAAUCCCAUCUUUAUAA